rfam:Nomascus leucogenys chromosome 2, whole genome shotgun sequence.
GCUGGGCAUGGUGGUGCAUGCCUGUAGUCCCAGAUACUUGGGAAGCGGAAGCAGGAGAAUCGCUUGAGCCCAGGAGUUCGAGACUAGCCUGGGCAACAUAGUGAGAUCCUGGUCUCAU